rnacentral:rRNA from 1 species
UACGUAGGUGGCAAGCGUUGUCCGGAUUUAUUGGGUUUAAAGGGUGCGUAGGCGGUCUUAUAAGUCAGUGGUGAAAUACGGCAGCUCAACUGUCGAGGUGCCAUUGAUACUGUAGGACUUGAGUACAGACGAGGUAGGCGGAAUUGACGGUGUAGCGGUGAAAAUGCUUAGAUAUCGUCAAGAACACCCGAUAGCGAAAGGGCAGCUUUUACUAGGCUGUAACUGACGCUGAUGCACGAAAAGUGU